AUUCCAGCUCCAAUAGUGUAUAUUAAAGUUGUUGCAGUUAAAAAGCUCGUAGUUGGAUUUCUGUUUGGAGCGUUCGGUCGGCUCUCUUUGAGAGUGUGUACUUGUGACGUUCUCGGCAUUUUUUGUGAGGAUGUUUUUCUGCCAUUAAGUUGGUGGUUGAAUAGACUUGCAUCGUUUACUGUGAAAAAAUUAGAGUGUUUAAAGCAGGCGUUUGCUCAUUUGAAUACAUUAGCAUGGAAUAAUAAGAUACGGCCUUGGUGGUCUAUUUUGUUGGUUUGCACACCAGGGUAAUGAUUAAUAGGGACAGUUGGGGGUAUUCAUAUUUCAGCGUCAGAGGUGAAAUUCUUGGAUUUUGGAAAGAUGAACUACUGCGAAGGCAUUUAACAAGGAUGUUUUCAUUA
rnacentral:rRNA from 1 species